rnacentral:rRNA from 1 species
GACAGAGGAUGCAAGCGUUAUCCGGAAUGAUUGGGCGUAAAGCGUCUGUAGGUGGCUUUUUAAGUCUGCCGUCAAAUCCCAGGGCUUAACCCUGGACAGGCGGUGGAAACUACCAAGCUGGAGUACGGUAGGGGCAGAGGGAAUUCCCGGUGUAGCGGUGAAAUGCGUAGAGAUCGGGAAGAACAUCGGUGGCGAAAGCGCUCUACUGGACCGCAACUGACACUCAGGGACGAAAGCUAGGGGAGCGAAUGGG